rnacentral:rRNA from 1 species
UACAGAGGUCCCAAGCGUUGUUCGGAUUUACUGGGCGUAAAGGGCUCGUAGGUGGCCAACUAAGUCAGACGUGAAAUCCCCAGGCUCAACUUGGGAACUGCGUCUGAUACUGGAUGGCUUGAAUUCGGGAGAGGGAUGCAGAAUUCCAGGUGUAGCGGUGAAAUGCGUAGAUAUCUGGAGGAAUACCGGUGGCGAAGGCGGCAUCCUGGACCGAGAUUGACACUGAUGAGCGAAAGCUAGGGGAGCAAACGGG